ACGUAGGAUGCAAGCGUUGUCCGGAUUUACUGGGCGUAAAGCGCGCGCAGGCGGCAUGGUAAGUAAGGUGUGAAAUCCAUCUGCUCAACGGGUGGGGUGCACUUUAGACUGCCAAGCUUGAGGUCGGUAGAGGGGGGUAGAAUUGCUGGUGUAGCGGUGAAAUGCGUAGAGAUCAGCAGGAAUACCCGUGGCGAAGGCGGCCCCCUGGGCCGUACCUGACGCUGAGGCGCGAAGGCUAGGGGAGCGAACGGGA
rnacentral:rRNA from 1 species